GAUUGAAAUUGUAGUAUACAGAUGAACAUUGCACUAGCGAUGAAAGAGACUUUCCAGUUCCUGAGCUCAGAGUGCGAUAUAGUAUUAUCUUUUCUAUAUUGCACUCUGAGAUCAGGAACUGGAACACGCUAGUGCAAUGUUCAUCUGUAUACUACAAUUACAAUCAGCAAUAGUUUGGGGAAGAUUAAGUUUCUGACGUAGAUAUGGGAAGGUCACUGAUGCAGUAAUAAUGCCCAGAUCCUAGAGAAUGAAAUGUCAGAAAUUAUCGAAAUUAAUCUGAAAUAUCUGCAAGUGAAGAAGUCUGCAUUCGGAAUCUUGAAAUAAUGCUAUUCUAUGAUAUUUUUACAAUGUUACAUUGCGAAACAAGUAAGAAAUAUUUAGUCGAUACUGCAGGACUACGAGAUCCGUGGGACCAUUUGAGGAACUGAUAUUUCAAAUAUUCUUUCCUUCUUUUCUGACAAAACUUUCGAAUAUAAUUGUUUAAUAAGUUUACUUGUAUAUGGACUAUCUCUAUCGUGACAAUAACAAAAAAUUGUGUAUAUCUACCAAAGCAGAAGUCUAUAGUAUUGGAAAUACUCGUUUUGCAAAUUUUUAGGGAGUGCACUAUAGGAAAUAAAGACCGAAAUUUUGGCAUAAACUCUAAAAGUAAA